UGCGGGAUGGAGCAGUCUGGUAGCUCGUCGGGCUCAUAACCCGAAGGUCAUCGGUUCAAAUCCGGUUCCCGCUA
rnacentral:tRNA from 1 species